rnacentral:rRNA from 1 species
UACAGAGGUCUCAAGCGUUUGUUCGGAUUCAUUGGGCGUAAAGGGUGCGUAGGCGGCCCUGUAAGUCCGCUGGUGAAAGUCAAGGGCUCAACCCUUGAAUGCCGGUGGAUACUGCAGGGCUAGAGUCCGGAAGAGGCGAGUGGAAUUCUUGGUGUAGCGGUGAAAUGCGUAGAUAUCAAGAGGAACACCUGGAGGUGAAGACGGGUUGCUGGGCCAACACUGACGCUGAUGCGCGAAAGCCAGGGGAGCAAACGGG